AAUGUUGCAUGUUUGGAUUUUGUCAUUAAUGACAUAAAGAUGUUAAUUUUUCUACACAAAGAUGAUGGCUGAAGAAGGCAAAGAGCUAUCUAUGUGCUCUGAAAAGGAAGAGGAUCGUGCUGGAGAAGACCUGGAUCCUACAUUACCCAAAAUGAGGCAUAUUAUGAGCAUGGAACCAAUGAACAAAAGAGAGGGAGAACCUCAUCUUAAGGCUUCAGUUGUUGUUAAGGGAGAAGGGCUACUUCCUGAAGGUGGUGAUUCCACAUUUACAGGAGGAAUUGUUAGCAGUGAGAUCCCUCCAGGUGUCCCCUAUGUUGCAGCACUGACUGCAAGUGAAGGCAUGUCCAGUGGGUACACAGUAAGCCAUGCAACAUUUAAUGCUGAUAUAAAACAUCAGGUAAUGCAAGAAAUUCGAAGAUUUGGACGAAGUAAGUACUGGGACAAUGGCUACUAACAGAAGGGGAGUAUCUCCAAAAUUUCUAUUAAAUUUUUUCAUGUAGUAUAUUUUGAUCAUAUUCUUUCUCCUCCCUGACCCUUCCCACUUUCUUAACUACCCAACUAAAUGUUCUGAAUGUCUCCCCUUCUCUCUCAAAAAUAAUAAACAAAAACCCAAAUAAAGGGAAGCAUGUUCAUAUUCACAGACCCACAGAAACACAGACAAGCACAGACAGACAAGCAGGCAGGCAGGCAGGCAGACAGACAGAUAGGCAGGCAUACAGACAGGCAGGCAGGCAGGCAGGGAGGCAGGCAGACAGGCAGGCAAACAGGCAGGCAGGCAGGCAGGCAGACAGGCAGGCAGGCACACACACACACACACACACACACACACACACACACACACACACACGACAUACUACACCAAAAUCAACCAACCAACCAAACUAACUAACUGACAAAAUACAGGAUCGAUUUUAGGUUGGCCAAAUUCUCCUGGGCAUGGGGCCUAGUCUGGAAUAUGAUUGAUAUAUUUUAUGACACUCAAUUGGAGAAAAAUGGUUCUCCUUUUGCUAGAAGGCACUAAUUGCAAAUAGUUUCUUUGCUAAGGGUGGAACUUUGAAUUUCCUAAUCCUUCUCCAGACAAGGAUGCUGUCUGGUUUGAACAUGUGCAUAUCUUAUGCAUAAGUUCAUAUGUGCAUCAGUCCUGCUAUGUCAGAAAGACUGUUUCCUUGGAGUUAUACAUCACCUCUGGUUGUCACAAUUUUUUUUUGUCUCCUCUUCUUGAUAGAUCCCUGCCUGAGUCUUGAGGGGAGGGCUUUGAUGAAGACAUACCAGACAGAGAGCUGCUGAGUCUGCUCUGCACAUUGUCCUCUUGUAGGCCUCGGUGUUAGUUCCUGUCUGCUGCAAGGAGAGAUUUCUUUGAAGCUCCUCCAGUUGCAUGAGUAGAAAAACAUGAAACUGGCCCCAGAGAGAGAGGGCCUUUGCCACAAGCAAGGAUUUCUAUAUAAUCUAGCACAGUCACUUUUUACUCAGACUAAAGCAUCUCAGGAGACUCCAUCUUUCAUCUGCAAUGCUACCUGGUUACUGCUCAUAAGAAUCAUAUUAGUAUCUGCAUAGGCAUUUAGAACCACAUACCCACCCAUUGACAUCCUUGACCAGAAAGCAUAUCACUGAGGAACACACAGUUCCACCCACAUCCAUUUCUAUUUUGUUUGAAAGAAAUACUGAAGUAUUCUUCUCUUCUCUUCAGAAUAUGGAAGGCUGUUCAAGAUCCUUGAAGAAGUGCAAGGCCCUCUGGAAGUCAAGAUACAGCUUGUCGAGUUCUCCAUCAAGGAGGCGGCGAGAUUUAAAAGAUAUCACUUAACUCAAUGCCUUAAGAAGAAACUCGAAGAAUUCUUGUCUGAAAGCUUUUGCUACCACAAAUAAUCCACCACUUGUUAUGUAAUCCUGCUGUUACUGGGGUCAUCAUGAUGCAACAAAAAGUCUGUGUUUCAGAUUGUAGUAGGGAGAUGCUGAAAUGCAUUAUUUGUUAGCUAAGAAAAUUACCUUUAAGAAAAAUGGUUUUAAACUACUCUAGUAAAAGUUGGGCUUUGGCCCUUUGUAUUCUGUGUGGAAGCACAA